rnacentral:rRNA from 1 species
GUAGGGAAUAUUGGGCAAUGGAGGCAACUCUGACCCAGCCAUGCCGCGUGCAGGAUGACGGCCCUCUGGGUUGUAAACUGCUUUUAUACGGGAAGAAAAAAUACUACGUGUAGUAUACUGACGGUACCGUAAGAAUAAGGAUCGGCUAACUCCGUGCCAGCAGCCGCGGUAAUACGGAGGAUCCAAGCGUUGUCCGGAUUUAUUGGGUUUAAAGGGUGCGUAGGCGGAUCUUUAAGUCAGUGGUGAAAGCCUGCAGCUUAACUGUAGAAUUGCCAUUGAAACUGAAGGUCUUGAAUGUGGUUAAAGUAGGCGGAAUGUAUCAUGUAGAGGUGAAAUGCUUAGAUAUGAUACAGAACACCGAUAGCGAAGGCAGCUUGCUGAACCAUUAUUGACGCUGAGGCACGAAAGCGUGGGGAGCGAACAGGAUUAGAUACCCUGGUAGUCC